rnacentral:rRNA from 1 species
AGAGAGAGACAUGCGCGCAUAUCAAUAAGCGGAGGAAAAGAAACUAACAAGGAUUCCCUUAGUAACGGCGAGUGAAGCGGGAAGAGCUCAAAUUUGAAAUCUUAAAGGGUUUCCCUUUACGAAUUGUAGUUUAAAGAAGUGUUUUCUGUUGAGGUUUUGGUAAAAGUUCUUUGGAAUAGGACAUCAUAGAGGGUGAGAAUCCCGUAUUUGACCUUUACUUUCAACUUUGUGAUACACUUUCAAAGAGUCGGACUGUUUGGGAAUGCAGUCCAAAAUGGGUGGUAAAUUUCAUCUAAAGCUAAAUAUUGGCGGGAGACCGAUAGCGAACGAUGUACCGUGAGGGAAAGAUGAAAAGAACUUUGAAAAGAGAGUUAAACAGUACGUGAAAUUGUCAAAAGGGAAGCGUUUGACACCAGUGUUGUUUUUCUGAAAAUCAAUUAAAGAACUGUUUAUGCUAAGUUGUUUAGACUUUAUCAGCUAACUGUUUAGUUUUGAGCUUUUCUUUAAUGCACUUUUCAGUUAACAAGUCAACAUCAAUUUCUUUUGCUGUAAAAAAGCUUGAGGAAGGUGGCUUGAGAUUCGUCUUAAGUGUUUAUAGCCUCUUGCCUAUGCAGUCGGAGAGAUUGAGGUCUGCAGCGUAGAUCCUUCGGGGCUAAAUGCAUUUGUGCUAAGUUAUAGCAUUUUAUAGACAACUUGUUGACUAUGAUUUGUCUUGUAGCUUACUCGCUUAUGUUAUUUUACCUACGCUUAGGAUGUUGAGCGCAUGUCUCUCUCU